CUGGUUACUGUCCAUGGGAUAUAAACUUUCUGUUUAUCAUGGAAAACGAAAUGCGCAUUGGUUUUUUGUGUGAAUUUAGUAGGUGUUUUGAAGAAAGCUUUAUGAUGUGAGUUUGCCUCACCAACCAUAUUGAUUUCCUCAAUCGAUCAAAGAAGUCUCCAUACGGCAUCGAGGAUGCCUCUAUUUUAACUUGACGUGCCGAGGAUUCUAUCACAAGGGAGCCAGCGAGCUAUCGGGAUCGAAGGAGAUUAACGUAACAUCGAAGACGUGCUUCAACAACAAUUAUGUCGGGUUAUGUAUCUUCAUCAAGAAAAUCUGAUAAACACAAAUAUUGGCCACAGAUGACUAUGCUGCGAUACUUACUUCAAUGACACGAGCAGAAUAAAUGCAGCGAUAAGAAGAACGAGAGAGGUUGAAUAUCCUAUGAAAGAUACACGUUUGAUCUUCCGCAGAGAUCUGGACAUAAUUUGGAUGUACUCCAGGUAAUUAUCGCUGAAACAGCCCAAGUAAGCCGCAGGUUGCCACGUUCCCUCCGGCGAACACGUCCGAAAAACAAAUUCUGCAAGUUAUUCCGGAACAAAGAGACAGGCUCUCAAACAGAUGGAGUCUGACAAAAUAUUUCGAGUUUCACGUCUGGUACAGCAGUUAGGCGUUGCUCCAAAAUGAAGGAUAUCUACAAUGGAUUUCGAGCCUAAACGACUUCACGUAUCCUCGAGCUUAGUAGCCAAGUACUUAGCGCAGUCAUAACGACAUUCUGUAUAUUUCAUUACUAACCAGAUCGUUCAAACUGACGAGAAACUUUCGUUCGCGGGUACGGACAAGUGGGACUACAAAACGAAGGCAGACAAGUUUGCAAAGUGAAUCGCCCUGACGCGUCCUUCGGUCAUCUCGAUUUGAUUCUUUUCAAGCGAAAAGUUUACGUAAUAAGCCCACGAUCACCCAAGCCCUGAAAAGAUGUUGGAUGCUGUAUCAGUGAAGUCCUCGUGUAACUCAUCCGUUCAUCCGGCUCAAUCGCUAUUUUUUCAAGGAAAAAACCCACAAAUAUAUCAAAGAUCUUCUACUCGCCAAGCACCAAACGUCAAAAUCCACUUGAUAUUUUGUGACCCGGUCCACCACAUCUGGGCAAGGCUGUCUGUACACAAACUAACCCGGUCCUACUUUUCGUACGGACGCUAUACACUUAC